UACGGAGGGUGCAAGCGUUAUCCGGAAUCAUUGGGUUUAAAGGGUCCGCAGGCGGAUUUGUAAGUCAGUGGUGAAAUCCUACAGCUUAACUGUAGAACUGCCAUUGAUACUGCAAGUCUUGAAUUCGGUCGAAGUGGGCGGAAUAUGUCAUGUAGCGGUGAAAUGCUUAGAUAUGACAUAGAACACCGAUAGCGAAGGCAGCUCACUAGGCCUGGAUUGACGCUCAUGGACGAAAGCGUGGGUAGCGAACAGG
rnacentral:rRNA from 1 species